rnacentral:rRNA from 1 species
AUUGAACGCUGGCGGCAUGCCUUACACAUGCAAGUCGAACGGCAGCACGGGGGCAACCCUGGUGGCGAGUGGCGAACGGGUGAGUAAUGCAUCGGAACGUGCCCCGUAGCGGGGGAUAACCAGUCGAAAGACUGGCUAAUACCGCAUACGCUCCACGGAGGAAAGCAGGGGAUCGCAAGACCUUGCACUAUGGGAGCGGCCGAUGCCCGAUUAGCUAGUUGGGAGGUAAAGGCUCACCAAGGCGACGAUCGGUAGCUGGUUUGAGAGAACGACCAGCCACACUGGGACUGAGACACGGCCCAGACUCCUACGGGAGGC